ensembl:lncRNA
AUUAAACAAAUGAAUUCAAAGCACUCAAAUAGCUGGGAUCUUCAAAGUGACAAGGACCUCAUCCCCGGGCCCAGGGCAGGCUGGCACUGCCAAGGGAACAUUUCCUGCAGUGGUGGAGCCGCUCACAGGGAGCGAGCAGGGGAGGGAAGCCAUGGACAGAGCACAGGAUGGCCAGGGAAGGGGCAGCAGCAGCUCCAGCCCUGCUGCACCCUCUGGGGACACAGGACAGACCAGUCUUGCAGCACGAGCAGAGCACAUCUGAAAACGCUGAGGAUAAAAGAACUCGCUUUGACCGACGGAGAAAGCACGGGUUUGGAAGCCUGCAGAACCAACAACGCUCAUUAGCAUCUGCCUUUCUUCUGGAAGGGCUCUGGGGGGGACGAGAACACGUUUAACACCGGGUGCAUCAAAGGAAACCCCUCACAGCUCAGCAGAACAUCCCUGGUGGCAGAACACCUGUGGUGGCAAAGGGCCCCGCUCUGCCCAGCAGCACCCCAGGUUCUGCUCCCAAACCUCCCAAUUUCAGCUGAGCUGGGCAUUCAGGCACAGCUUUCCAUCCUCUGACCUCGCUCCAGUUUUAUUUCUCUGCUGCAAAAAGGGGAAAGGCGUGCAUGAGGAGCUGGGGGAGGGACGGUCCCUCAGUCUGGUGCAUCCCUGAUCCUCCCCCUGCUCCGGGGUUCUCCCUGCCCAGGUGUGCUCCCGGCACCAGCAAGGACUGGUUUUCUGUCUGGAUCUCCCUCCCUUCUCCCCACAACAGUUCCAUGCCCGAAUUGCCUUUAAAAUUAAGUGGGAAAAGCAGAGGUGGGAAAUGAAUCCACACCUGGCAGGGCUGUCCCCAAAACUCGGUCACGUCCACACCAAAUUUGCCAAGAUUAGCUCAGGGAGCUUCAAAUCUGGGCAGCCCCAGAGGGUGGGAAAUAUCCCAGUGUAUUUUUCUGGUUUCUGGCUCUGUUUCUUCAGCUCCAGAGGAUGCUGAGCCCCCCAGCCCCUUUCAGGGACAGGCCCCACCCCAGCCCCAAACCCCAAAGUGCUUCAGCCCCCCUUGUCCUGCAGAGCUGGGGGAGCAGAGCAGAGAAAGCCUCGCUAAAUCUGCAAUUUGGAGCUGAAACAUCCUUUAUCAGAAAUUUAUAACCCAUUUAAAAUGAAUCGGUUCAGGGCCCAGCGAGGGUCCUGGCUGAGGGAGGAGAUAAUUCCCCAGGUUUAUUUAUAUAGUUUGAUAGCUUUUAUGCCAGGUUAGUAAAAAAGAGUCUGUGCCAAUGAAAUGCCUUUUUCUGCUUGUAAAACUCGGGAGGGUUUUAUCUGUGGUGCUGAAUGGUGCUGCCUUUUUAGCUUUCUGUGGGAUCUGAGGAGAGAAGAGGGGUUCAGCCUCUCCCCCCAGCACCCCAAACCAUCCUUUGGCAUCUGAACCAUCCUUGAACUGCUCAUCUGGGUGUAAACAGAGCUUNCCUCCCUCGGUGAUGCUCGGCUGUUGCUACGCGACACCGUGCGGUAACCAUGGCAACGCCCAGCAGCCCGGCACAGCCCUUUUUUUGGGACAGAAAUGGGGAAUUGGGGUCCUGGGGGCUUCUCCACACCGCCCAGCCCAAAUGCGUUCCCAAUGCCCCGUGUUCUGCAGCUACAAAUGGUUUGGGUUUGUUUUGCAGUUAUUCCUUAAAAAAGAAUAAUAAUAAAAAAGUAUUUUCCUGAUUUUCA